UCACAAAUGUGGCAGGGGAGACAACAUGAUCAGGCAGGUUGUUUUCCCAGGGCGAGGCCCAUCCCCUCCAUUCCGGGUAUGCUGACCCCUGCAAUUUCCCCAAAUGCGGGAAACUUGACUACAUAAUUUGUGGUAGUGAGGGACUGUGUUCACGCUCUCCCCUG
ensembl:snRNA U1 U1 spliceosomal RNA